AAGAACAAGCAAUGUAAGAGAAUUCGUAAAGAACUUUCUAGUUCUUUAAUAUUUACCCAUGUGAAUUCUCUAUUAUUUUUGUACAUCAUACUUAAAUUGGUAUGGCUAACCCAAAUGUCAACUUAAUAAAUUAUCAAUAUGAUAAAGUACAUAUUUACAUGUGCAAUUAUCAGUAAACUCCAAGUUUAUUAUAAUAUGAGUUUUUAUAUCAAUAAGCAUCCACUUUAUUGUGGUAUUCGUUUAUUUGUGUAGUACAAACUGGAGAAUAAAGCUAGCUUUUCAUAUACAGAUUAUCCCGCUACAAGUUGUAGUAAUAGAAGAUAUCAAAUAUUUCCUUUAUUUAUUGUCUGAAUAUAAUCAACCGCUUUCGCAUAUACUUUGGAAACUGAAUAAGUUUCUUUGAGACUUACUACAACACAAUACCUUAUUGGUUCUUGCAGAGUUCUCAAUUAAUUUGGUACUACCACAUAUUCAUGAGCAUCCAUAUGGUGAAUAUCUCUUUUAAAGAGAACCUUAUACCAUUAUGGUCAUGGUCAAAAUUAUAUGCAAGAUAUGUUUCUUGCAUUAUUAUUGUUCUUUAAUAAUCACAUUGCCAAAAUAUUUUGACGUACAAUAGGUAUGUCACCAAUGACCAUUCAUGCCAUAAUAAAUGAUAUUAUUUUCUUAAAACUCAACAAGUUCCUCUUCGACUUGGAGGAGAACAUUGCAUUCUCAAAGAUAAAUAUUGUUCCUUUAGGCAGUGUUAUAGUAGCACUUCUAGAGCCUUCAAUUAAUUUACUAAUAUAAGAAAUUAUAGUAACAUCUGCCUUACACAUACUUAAAUGAGAGAAAUAUUUCUUCUCUUUGAANNN
rnacentral:lncRNA from 1 species